rnacentral:rRNA from 1 species
AGUGAACGCUGGCGGCAGGCCUAACACAUGCAAGUCGAGCGGCAGCGCGUCCGACCACCCUCGGGUGGUCGGAUGGCGGCGAGCGGCGGACGGGUGAGGAAUGCAUCGGAAUCUGCCUCGUUGUGGGGGAUAACGUAGGGAAACUUACGCUAAUACCGCAUACGACCUACGGGUGAAAGUGGGGGACCUUCGGGCCUCACGCGAUGAGAUGAGCCGAUGCCGGAUUAGCUAGUUGGCGGGGUAAAGGCCCACCAAGGCGACGAUCCGUAGCUGGUCUGAGAGGAUGAUCAGCCACACUGGAACUGAGACACGGUCCAGACUCCUACGGGAGGCAGCAGUGGGGAAUAUUGGACAAUGGGGGCAACCCUGAUCCAGCCAUGCCGCGUGUGUGAAGAAGGCCUGGUUGUAAGACUCUUCGUCCGGGAGGAAUACGCGACAGAGUAAUACCUACGUGUGGA